GGGGGUAUAGCUCAGUUGGUAGAGCACAUGCAUGGCAUGCAUGGGGUCAGCGGUUCGAAUCCGCUUACCUCCACCA
rnacentral:tRNA from 1 species